AUCGGUGACAGGUGGUGCAUGGUUGUCGUCAGCUCGUGUCGUGAGAUGUUGGGUUAAGUCCCGCAACGAGCCGCAACCCCUUAUUGUUAGUUGCCAUCAGUUCAGUUGGGCACUCUAGCGAGACUGCCGGUAAUAAACCGGAGGAAGUGGGAUGACGUCAAAUCAUCAUGCCCUUAUGACCUGGGCUACACACGUGCUACAAUGGUUGGUACAACGAGUUGCGAGUCGGUGACGGCGAGCUAAUCUCUUAAAGCCAAUCUCAGUUCGGAUUGUAGGCUGCAACUCGCCUACAUGAAGUCGGAAUCGCUAGUAAUCGCGGAUCAGCACGCCGCGGUGAAUACGUUCCCGGGCCUU
rnacentral:rRNA from 1 species